rnacentral:rRNA from 1 species
UACGUAGGGUGCAAGCGUUGUCCGGAAUUAUUGGGCGUAAAGGGCUCGUAGGCGGUCUGUCACGUCGGGAGUGAAAACUCAGGGCUUAACCCUGAGCCUGCUUCCGAUACGGGCAGACUAGAGGUAUGCAGGGGAGAACGGAAUUCCUGGUGUAGCGGUGAAAUGCGCAGAUAUCAGGAGGAACACCGGUGGCGAAGGCGGGACUCUGGGCCGAUACUGACGCUGAGGAGCGAAAGCGUGGGGAGCAAACAGG